UUUCAAAGCGAUUAUUUCCGAACAUAUUCACUUUAUCAAAAAAUGUUGUUCUAAAAACCCGUAUUCGUUUUAAAAGACCUAUCCAACGACACCCCACACUGUAGGGUGGAAGCGAAAAAAAAUUUCAUCCCCUUUUUAAUGUACGGCAGUCACCCUAAAAAAUAUUUUUUUCUAAUUUAUAUUUUACAACUUUGUCAGCGUAACUGAUUUAUAUAUUCGUGUCAAAUUUAAACAUGAAAACUAGAAAAAAAAUUUUUUAUGGUGGUUGCCCUACAUUAAAGUGGGCAUGAAAUUUUUUUUCGUUUCCACCCUAUAGUGUGGGGUGUCGUUGGAUAGAUCUUUUAAAACGAAUAAGGGUCUUCAAGAAACAUUUUUUGAUCAACUUAAUAUUUUCGGAAAUAAUCGAUCUGAAAGAAAAAAAAAACGUGUCUCCC